rnacentral:tRNA from 1 species
CGGGGUAUAGCUCAGCCUGGUAGAGCACUGGGUUCGGGACUCAGGGGCCGGAGGUUCAAAUCCUCUUAUCCCGACCA